rnacentral:rRNA from 1 species
AACGAACGCUGGCGGCAUGCCUAACACAUGCAAGUCGAACGAGACCUUCGGGUCUAGUGGCGCACGGGUGCGUAACGCGUGGGAACCUGCCCUUAGGUUCGGAAUAACUCCCCGAAAGGGGUGCUAAUACCGGACAACGUCCUCGGACCAAAGAUUUAUCGCCUUUGGAUGGGCCCGCGUUGGAUUAGCUAGUUGGUAGGGUAAAAGCCUACCAAGGCGACGAUCCAUAGCUGGUCUGAGAGGAUGAUCAGCCACACUGGGACUGAGACACGGCCCAGACUCCUACGGGAGGCAGCAGUGGGGAAUAUUGGACAAUGGGCGAAAGCCUGAUCCAGCAAUGCCGCGUGAGUGAUGAAGGCCUUAGGGUUGUGAAGCUCUUUUACCCGGGAUGAUAAUGACAGUACCGGGAGAAUAAGCUCCGGCUAACUCCGUG